rnacentral:rRNA from 1 species
UGGGGAAUUUUGGGAUCAAUGGGGGAACCCGAUCGAUCCAGCCAUCCCGCCGUGUGCGAUGAAGGCCUUCGGGUUGUAAAGCACUUUUGGCAGGAAAGAAACGUCGCGGGUUAAUACCCCGCCGAACAUGACGGUACCUGCAGAAUAAGCACCGGCUAACUACGUGCCAGCAGCCGCGGUAAUACGUAGGGUGCAAGCGUUAAUCGGAAUUACUGGGCGUAAAGCGUGCGCAGGCGGUUCGGAAAGAAAGAUGUGAAAUCCCAGAGCUUAACUUUGGAACUGCAUUUUUAACUACCGGGCUAGAGUGUGUCAGAGGGAGGUGGAAUUCCGCGUGUAGCAGUGAAAUGCGUAGAUAUGCGGAGGAACACCGAUGGCGAAGGCAGCCUCCUGGGAUAACACUGACGCUCAUGCACGAAAGCGUGGGGAGCAAACAGGAUUAGAUACCCUGGUAGUCCACGCCCUAAACGAUGUCAACUAGCUGUUGGGGCCUUCGGGCCUUGGUAGCGCAGCUAACGCGUGAAGUUGACCGCCUGGGGAGUACGGUCGCAAGAUUAAAACUCAAAUGAAUU